rnacentral:rRNA from 1 species
AGUAACUUGCCCUGGAGUUCGGGAUAACAGCUGGAAACGGUUGCUAAUACCGAAUAAGACCACUUGGUUGCGAUUGAGUGGGAAAAGUGGGGGAUUCUUCGGAACCUCACGCUCUGGGAUGGGCUCGCGGCCCAUUAGGUAGUUGGUGAGGUAAUGGCUCACCAAGCCAAAGAUGGGUAGCUGGUCUGAGAGGAUGAUCAGCCACACUGGGACUGAGACACGGCCCAG